CUCGUCAUCAAUGCCAGCAGGAUGUGCAACCUCCUCCCAGUGAAGACUGCUGGAGAUACUGAGGAAGACAUGGACGUGGAUGUUGCGUUGGACACCGAGGAGAUGAUGGAGGUGGACAUCCAAGACUCCGAAGAAGAGAUGGAAGUCGAUGUGGUGGAGCAGAUGGAGGACAUGGAUGUCGACCAGCAGGAUGAGGAGGAGGACAUGGUGCUGGGAUGAGGACAGUCCCCCAGCAGCACGACAGGCACGUACUGGCCAUGCCCUGCCCCGGGGUCACCUGCUGGGUGUGCCAGGCUGGGGGCACAGGGAACACCCAGCAGGGCCCGACUGCACUGACCGUGCCCUUGCUUUUCUUCCAGGACUGACGGACCUGCCGGCCACACAAUCGGCCACUGUGUAUAUAUGUUUUACAUGUUGUUCUGUAAAUACGUUUUAUAUUGUUGAUUUUUUAAGAAGGUUGUUGUUUGUAUAGAGAAGAUAGCUUAAGAAGAUAGAUUUUUAAUAAGAAGAUAGUUUUUUAUUAAGAAGAUAGUUUAUUAAAGAAGAUAAGGUUUCUUUUUAAGAAGAUAGUUUUUUAUUAAGAAGAUAUUUUUAUUUAGAAGAUAGUUGUUUUUAUUAAGAAGAUAAUUGUUUUAUUAAGAAG